rnacentral:rRNA from 1 species
UAAGGAAUAUUGGUCAAUGGACGAAAGUCUGAACCAGCCAUGCCGCGUGGAGGAUGAAGGUCCUCUGGAUUGUAAACUUCUUUUAUAUGGGACGAAAAAAGGCUUUUCUAAGUCGUCUGACGGUACCAUAUGAAUAAGCACCGGCUAACUCCGUGCCAGCAGCCGCGGUAAUACGGAGGGUGCAAGCGUUAUCCGGAUUCACUGGGUUUAAAGGGUGCGUAGGUGGGUUGGUAAGUCAGUGGUGAAAUCUCCGAGCUUAACUUGGAAACUGCCAUUGAUACUAUCAAUCUUGAAUAUUGUGGAGGUUAGCGGAAUAUGUCAUGUAGCGGUGAAAUGCUUAGAUAUGACAUAGAACACCAAUUGCGAAGGCAGCUGGCUACACAUAUAUUGACACUGAGGCACGAAAGCGUGGGGAUCAAACAGG